AUGCAUCAGAUUCCUACUUCUCUACCUACCAAUCGGAUCAUUCGUUCCGUUGGAGAGCUCUCUCACGGUGGCGCCGCGCGCAUGGCUCUAGGCAGCAGGCUGAAGCUCCUCGUCCUCCUCUCAAGAUGGGUCAGCUUGAUACUCGCCUGCACGGCGGCGGCCAUCGUCGGCGAGGCCAGCCAACCGUUCCCGGCCAACCAGUUCAUGUGGUGGAUUCUGUGCUUCGGAGGCCUCCUGUGGGGUUUGGUGCUGCUAAUGUUCCAGUUCGUCUGGCCGUGUAUGGAGGGCUUUGAGCCCGGAAAUGUGGCGCUCCUGGUACUGGUCGCCGUCGACUGGGCCGUCGCGUGUCUCACCGCCGGCUCGGCGUGCGCCGCCCUCGCCGCCAACCAGUACGCCAUCCAGCACCAGUAUAAGGACUGUGGCCCGAAGACUGGAUUUUCUCCCAUGCACGGGAGGUCCCGUGCAUGGUCCAGCCAUUCGUUCUUGCGCUGA
rnacentral:rRNA from 1 species